AGUGAGUUCAGCUUCUUAACAGUGCACCCAUUACUGACGCAGACAUUUACACAGACGUUGUGUCCAAUCACGGAAGACAAAUAUUUUCUGUACUGACCUGUGGUCAGUGGUGGUUGUGAUUUUUUUCCAAACCCCGCCCCAUCCACGCGUCUGGACCAAUCAAGAGCACCGAGCACUAUUAAAAACCCGAGGAAAACAGCAAAACAACAGUAAUCAACCCUUUAAUUGGAGAUUUAAAAGGUAAAUAAGAGCGUUUUUCUGGAAUUAAAAUUGUGUAUUCAGCUGUAACUGGAAAUAUCUGAGCAAAACUGUGCUGGACUGAGGUACACAGCUGCUG